rnacentral:rRNA from 1 species
UGGGGAAUUUUGGACAAUGGGCGCAAGCCUGAUCCAGCCAUGCCGCGUGAGUGAAGAAGGCCUUCGGGUUGUAAAGCUCUUUCGGCGGGGAAGAAAUUGCACUGGCUAAUACCGAGUGUAGAUGACGGUACCCGCAUAAGAAGCACCGGCUAACUACGUGCCAGCAGCCGCGGUAAUACGUAGGGUGCGAGCGUUAAUCGGAAUUACUGGGCGUAAAGCGUGCGCAGGCGGUUUUGUAAGUCAGAUGUGAAAUCCCCGGGCUCAACCUGGGAACUGCAUUUGAGACUGCAAGGCUAGAGUGUAGCAGAGGGGGGUAGAAUUCCACGUGUAGCAGUGAAAUGCGUAGAGAUGUGGAGGAAUACCGAUGGCGAAGGCAGCCCCCUGGGUUACUACUGACGCUCAUGCACGAAAGCGUGGGGAGCAAACA